UAGGGAAUCUUCCACAAUGGACGCAAGUCUGAUGGAGCAACGCCGCGUGAGUGAAGAAGGUUUUCGGAUCGUAAAACUCUGUUGUUAGAGAAGAACAAGGAUGAGAAGAGAAUGUUCAUCCCUUGACGGUAUCUAACCAGAAAGCCACGGCUAACUACGUGCCAGCAGCCGCGGUAAUACGUAGGUGGCAAGCGUUGUCCGGAUUUAUUGGGCGUAAAGCGAGCGCAGGCGGUUCUUUAAGUCUGAUGUGAAA
rnacentral:rRNA from 1 species